GGCAUAGGUGACGAACGUUAUCCGGAAUUAUUGGGCGUAAAGGAUGCGUAGAUGGUUCGAUAAGUUACUGGUGGGAAAUCGAGGCCCAACCUCGUGGAAGCUGGUAAUACUGUCGAGCUUGAGUGCAGGAGAGGUUAACGGAACUUUAUGUGGAGCGGUAAAAUGCGUAGAUAUAUGAAAGAACACCGAUAUAGCGAAGGCAGUUAACUAUUCUGCUACUGACAUUGAGGCAUGAAAGCGUGGGGAGCAAAACGG
rnacentral:rRNA from 1 species